CACUGAGGAAAGAAAUUGAAGAAGACCUCAGAAGAUGGAAAGAUCUCCCAUGCUCAUGGAUUGGCAGGAUUAAUAUAGUAAAAAUGGCCAUUUUACCAAAAGCGAUCCACAGAUUCAAUGCAAUCCCCAUCAAAAUACCAAUCCAAUUCUUCAAAGAGUUAGACAGAACAAUUUGCAAAUUCAUCUGGAAUAACAAAAAACCCAGGAUAGCUAAAGCUAUCCUCAACAAUAAAAGGACUUCAGGGGGAAUCACUAUCCCUGAACUCAAGCAGUAUUACAGAGCAAUAGUGAUAAAAACUGCAUGGUAUUGGUACAGAGACAGACAGAUAGACCAAUGGAAUAGAAUUGAAGACCCAGAAAUGAACCCACACACCUAUGGUCACUUGAUUUUUGACAAGGGAGCCAAAACCAUCCAAUGGAAAAA
rnacentral:lncRNA from 1 species